GUGCUCGCUUCUGCAGCACAUAUACUAAAAUUGGAAUGAUACAGAGAACAUCAGCAUGGCCCCUGCGCAAGGAUGACACGCAAAUUCGUGAAGCAUUCCAUAUUUUU
ensembl:snRNA U6 U6 spliceosomal RNA